GCAGAAUUUAAUUAGUGUUUUAGCGCUUGACUGGCAGUCAAGAGGUCGUGAGUUCGAAUCUCAUCUUCUCCA
rnacentral:tRNA from 1 species